rnacentral:misc_RNA from 1 species
AACCAUAGAAACCUGCGGAGUACCUGCGGAAGGAUCAUUAUUGAUUUUUAAAGGAUGUGCUGGCUCUUCUGGAGCAGGUGCACUCCUAACAAAAAGCCAAUAUCCACCUGUGCACCUUUAGUAGGCAGGAAAAGACCUUGCCCAAGGGCUUUUUUUGUCUAUGUUUUUUUAUCAUAAACCCUUGAUCUAUUUGAAUGCUUAUACAACAAAUAAUAAUUUGUAACACAACUUUCAACAAUG